UGGGUAACCUGCCCAAGAGAUCGGGAUAACACCUGGAAACAGAUGCUAAUACCGGAUAACAACAGAUGAUGCCUAUCAACUGUUUAAAAGAUGGUUCUGCUAUCACUCUUGGAUGGACCUGCGGUGCAUUAGCUAGUUGGUAGGGUAACGGCCUACCAAGGCGAUGAUGCAUAGCCGAGUUGAGAGACUUAUCGGCCACAUUGGGACUGAGACACGGCCCAAACUCCUACGGGAGGCAGCAGAA
rnacentral:rRNA from 1 species